ACUAUAAUAUUUAUAUUAGCAGAUUUUAUAAAAUGUUCGGAAUGUUGCUACUAUUUUUUAAACAUGUCAGGCUCAUGGUGGGAGGGGUACCCCCCUCCCCCCAAUGAAAACUCUACAAACAUAAUAUUUGUACUUACAUAUAAAUAUGAAUUAUAAUAAUUUAUUGGGAACAAAUCUAGUUUAGCACCCAGCAAAAAGUUUCGGACCAGUUUGUAUAGUUAAAUUUGGCAUGCGAACUACCUAUAACUGAAAUAGAAAACCAGAAUAUGGGUACGUUGCAGAUCACACAGAUUUCUGUAAAAGAACAUACGAUUUAUCAAUAGACCGUGUAUGUAGAUUUUAACUUUUAGGUACCUAUUGAGUAUAAAUAAUAUAUAAAUUCUAUAGAUUUAUCAUAAUAAAUAAUAUAUUUUAUAUCAUCUAUGGCAAUCGUCAAUAAAAUUGUCGACAUUCGUCGGCGACGAUUGACAAUUCUAAUGAUUUCAGUUAACAAAAAAAUAAUAAGCAGUCAAUAUAGACAGACUACAGUUAAGCCGUAUUAUAUUGUAUUAUAAUUUUCAAUUCGGAGCGAAAUGAAGAUGGAUGGAGAUAGCUGUUUCUUCAGCGACGGCGGCAGUUUAGCCAGGUUUCACUGGAAGAGUCGAUGUUUACGCGUACGUUUGUUUUCAUAUUAAAAGGAAAUCAUUAGUUUUUACGAAGUUUAAUUCUGACACCCAUACAUGGUGGUUUUACAUAACAAGUCGACGGAUGUUUUUGAUUUUAAUUGUCCGAGCGAGCGUCAACCCUUCCUCAAAAGUUGGUGACAAUGUUCUGGUGUCAACCCUGUCGGUAGAUCCAGGGCGUGGAGAUGCAGUCAACUUUCUUUCAAUAAUCGUAGAAGAAAAAAAGGAAAAUUUCGUAAUUUGGGAUUUAAGAAGAGAUUCUGAGCACAUGGCUGGAGCGGAACAGCUUGGCUGCUACAAAGUAUUGUUUACUCUGACGACGAAUGUGUAAUUCGGCGUGCCACCCAGGCCGUAGUUCCAAAAGUGCAUGAAUAUAAUAUAUUUUUUAUAAUUUUUGUAUUUUUGUUUUUUUUUUUACUGAAAAUAUAUUAUUUUUUAUACACAUAAUUAAUUAUUGAAAUUUCAUUAUAUUUCCAGUAUUCCUGUAUUUUAUGUAAGAUAAUGAAUAUUAAUUUAUAUUGAUUUAUUUUUUAUGACUUAUAACUUAUAAGAAGGCUCUUUGGUCUUUCCAAUUUACCGUAAUCGGCAGUAUUAUGUACAAUCUAUACCAGUGCCGUAGCCAGAAAAUAAUUUUGAGGGGGGCACUUAAUUUUUUUUCAUUAGCCUUUGAAAUGUUAGAAUAUCUAA